AAGGGAAGGAAACUGUAACAGAUUAUUGAUACCGUCACACUACCACUACAACUGCACAAAUCAGUCUUGCAGUCUGCCAGAUUACAGUUCAGCAGCUAUCUAUCAAUAUUCCAGUAGAUCUUGGUUCAGUCAGUCCAUCUGCUUGUCAGUCGCAGAGUUCCUGCUCUGAAGAUUUUCCCCUUGAUUGUCCCAUCAGUCACAGCAGGGCUGCAGAGUGGUUGAAGUGAUAGAUUAGAAAAGUAGCUGUUCGUGUUGAUUGAUCAGUGUAAUGGUGGAGCUAUCACUGUGGCAAAUUGGACAUGCAUGAUACUGACUGGUUAUCAAGUUUGUUCUCAGAAGGCUAUGUUAGAAGUUUGUUCAAGAGAUGAAGGAUAUCCCAAAUGCUGAGGUAUUCAGAAAAUUUGGAAUCAUUCUCAUUAUGACUAUAACAGCUGUUUCACUCUUGUUUUUGAAAAUCCUGAGGUAAACUCAAGCAGAUCAGUUACUGGGAUGAAAGAGCUUCUGAAGAACAUUUGAAAGAGCUAUAAACUUGAAUGAAGUCCAAAUGUUAAAAACACAGAGGAACAUCUUUCAAAUCUAGGAAAUACAUGAUGAUGUGGAGCCUGACAGGCAUCAACAUCAGCAUUAUGGUACGUUGUUAAUUGAAGAAAGAUAAGCAAAAAUAAUAUAAAAAUAAUAAGGAUUCAGUUAGUAGUUCAACAGUAUUUUCUACCCUCUUUCUAAAAAUCUCCUUACUGUUUAUCAAUCACUGAAGCUGGAUUCUUUUCUCCAGUUCCUGUUGAUGGCUUUUUUAAUGUAAAUUACAUUGUCAAGGCCGUCACGAAUGCUACACCAUAUUCUAUUGAAAUAAAAUGUGAGUUUUUCUUUUUAUGAGGAAUAGUUUUUGAUUUCAGCAGUAAUCCUGCUUUUACAUGCUAAACAUGGAAGUUAUGAGCUAUAAAAAUCCCUGAUGUGGUUCUCAUUCUAUAUCUGCAGUAUCUACAAAAAGGGUUCAGUGGCAUUUCAUCAAAUUUGGAUCCACCAGCGAGUCUUUUCAAUGAAUGUAAUUCCUUUCAUAUCCCGUAUUGGACCUAUUUAGGUUUAUCUUUGAGCAGCAAAAGUCACAAAAGUCAUUACUUGUAAAACUUAAGAUUGAUCAUUAAAUGCUUAUUUUACCACCCACAAUAACUGUGUUUUGUGCACUACUUUUUACUUACAAAAUAGGACAGGGUAUGUAAUAAAUUUGUCAGACUCUGAGCUGCCACCUCUUAAACCCAGCCCCAGUCAGCAUACAAAUAAGAAGAUAGGAUGGGUAAGGCCCACAUUAUACUAUUCACAUCCACAAGGGUUUGCAUGUGGGACGUGAUGUCCAUGAGAGUAAGUGCAAACCUCCUCAGACAUCCACUUGUAGGCCAAAAUUUAUGUCCUAAUACUACACAUGUGCAGAAAACAUACAAACCAGCUAGUGCAUAUGUGUGGAAUGGAGUACUCUAAGCACUCUCGCAGACUAGAAAAGUGGUGUAAUAGCAAGAUCUACGUAUCCAUGGUGUCCACAGCUGUUCGUGUGUACAUCCACAAGAGAGAAUAGUCAAGGCAUAGAAAAGUAGACUUUACUUGGAUGGAAGCACCUCCAGCAUUUGACACUGGAAAUAGCAACAGAGUUGUCAUUGCAGUUAUUCCAAUAAGGUGACAGUAGCUCAUUGCAUCUGUAACUGCAGCUCUACUGUGUUGGUGCGAUGGGGAGGAAAUGAAGCUACUGGAACUUCUACGAGUAACAAGUCCAGCACUAGCUGUCAUUUUCAUCCUGUCCACUUGGCUUCUUUCAUCUUUUGCAGAUUACACCAUUUAUAUUGUCAUAUCCAUGACACCAGCUUCUGCUUUACUCCCAUCAUAUCCGUCACUCAAAUCCGUGUCUCUCCUCAAGAUGCUGUCCCUCAUCUGCAUGUCUGUUGUUUGAAGUUUACCAUCUGAUCGUAGUCUGUCUUUCCUCUGUCAUAUCCGUCACUCCAACCCCAGUCUCCUCCCUAGCCUCUGUUCCUCAUCUGUCAUGUCUUUUGUGUAGCAUCUAUUCGCUACGCCACAUUCUAUAAACAACCAUUUUCUCCUAUCAUGUCAUCUCUCCAGGGUCUGGUUUUUUGUUUUUUUUUGAGGCCUUUCUGCCUUCUGUGCCUCCAUGGCUGUAUCCGUCUCAUUUGCAACUCUAACCCCAUUCUCCCCUCUAGGCAGACAUCCUACCACGCCCCCAUUUUGUCCGUUACACCAAACAACUCUCGCCUCCAGGUCGAUCAUCUGCCUUUGAACUGUCACACCUGUUACUUUUUGCUUCUCUCCCCUCUGCCUCUUUCUGCUGUGUGGGUGCUCAGCCUCUCAGAUGGAUAUGCAAUUGUGAGUCAGAGCGGGUGCUGUGCUGAAUAUUAAAUCUGAAGCCCAGACAGACGUUUCUUCCUCGACAGAAUCUGUUUAUCUCGGAGUCACCACCAUCUCCGGUGCUGCAGGCUGCUUUUGCUCGCCCCUUCUCGUGUCUCGCGGCUGUUUGAUUCUGUUGACAACAGCUGCCUGAUGAUGGGAGAGUGGCAAUUACAUUUGCAAUGUGUUAUUCCCACCCCUAGCUUAUCCCCCUUGCCAAACACUGCUUCGUCCAAAACAGCCUUUCUUUGAGCUGCUUCAUAUCUGAUAGUCAAUGUGGGUGUCACUUUGGAUGACAUUUAUUGCUGAUUUUCUUCCCAUGUUGCAAAUUAAAAGCUAUGCCUUGACUCAUCCCAAAGAGACACUUGAGACAAAAAGUGAAAGUUUUCUAAAUAAAAUUCUGGUCUCUUGGCCUCCCUGUCUUUUUUUUUUUUUUUUUUUUUUACUCACCACUUCCGUUGCAGUGAUUAUGGAAAUAUGUAGAAUGCAGAAUCCUACACACCAUCCUAUGCAAAAAAAAAUUACAUUUAACAGACACAAUUUAAAACACUUAAAAGGUAACAAAGAGUAUUCCCCUAAAAAUACUGAUAGCCACUCAUGUCUCCCUUAUGGUGUUGCACUUCAGGGAAACUACAGUGCGUACAUUGUUAUGUUUUUAAAACUCACAGACACGAACUAUCUCUUCACAUUUACUACUGCAGGGGUAUUCAACUAAAAUUCAAAGAGGUCCAGUCAGAGACAAUUUAUUAAAGCAAAGGUUCCGAACAUCAUAAAGUCUAACUUGAAUUAGUGUGAUAUAUGUUGAUGUAACCUAGUAGUUUUUCUUAGUUUUUAUUAUAACUUUUGUUAUAACUGUAUAUCUUAAAAUAAAGUGCAGAACUUGAAAAAAUUAAUGACUGAACAACCUGAACCAACUUCUAUACAUCUUUAACAAUACUAAAUCUCAAAAAAUUUAAACAAUCGAACACUUUCACAUUUUUCCCUGUCUUAAACCACUCCCCUUAUAUCCUCUGCUGCUUAAUGGGAGAACUGAGCUGCAGCUUCCCCUGCCUGUAUUUUGAAUCGUGGCCUGGAUGGUGUCAGGGACGCUCUCAAACACAUUUGGAGCUCAUUGGUGAGUCUGGAACGAGAUUUUGUCAGAGGUGGGUAGUAACGAGUUACAUUUAUUUGAGUAACUUUUCAAAAAAAAUGCACUUCUAGUAGUAGUUUAGUAGUUCUAGUAGUUGUACUCUGCCAUACUUUUUACUUUUACUUGAGUAGCUUUGUGAAGAAGAACUGCUUCUCUGUUACACUGGACUACACUCAAGUCGUUACUUUUUUAUUUACCACAUUAAGGCUGGAAUAUACUUUCCGCACGAACGAGCCGCACGGAAAUCAGCUGCACGGAAAUCCGUUCGAGAGAACGUGUGUGCAUUUAUACUCCAUGCGGCGUCUGCUCCCAAACUGCAGGGGGCAGUGUAUUGCAAACACAUGUCUACCUGGUCUACUCUAGUACUAAACUAGAGAAGAAGAAGUUUGCCAUUGUUUACACCACUUACAACACGGCAUUUUACCUAAUAAAAGCAUUUCAGCAGUUAGUUUUAAUUUCACACCAUGAAUACUUCAUAACCCGGUUACCACGGUGAUCUCUGUGUGAUGAAUCGUUUAAGUGCACGUAUUUCUAGACUUCAGCUAGGAGUAGGUCCUGGCCUUCUGCCAUGUUUUUCCGCGCGGCUCCGUCCGCGUUGGUUAGAAAAAUGUGGAGGUGCGUGGAGCGGAAAUUUUCCGCACGGAAAGGCCGCUCGAGGGGGCGUGGGUGCGAAAAUGACGUAAUUUUUCCUCACGGAGCCGCACGGACCUUGCAGACGCAGCAAGCAUAAAACAAGCUUAAGAUAUGCUUUAUUUUGCCAGACAGAUGCCCCCAGUGGAUCUACAACAUGAUUGUGUUUCACCAAUCAGAUGAAGCAACAAUAAUCACAUGACUCUGUUUCACCAGAGGUAGCCCCUGCAGUCACAUGACCACAUACAGACUGUGGCCCGCAUAGCAACACAAACUCUUCUCACGUAGCAGACACACAGGGAAUGAAAAAACACAAGAAAAAUGACAGAGGCUACUGUUUCCAGUGCUAGAACUGAAGAGGAUGAACACCCAUGGCCUCAUAUACAAAGCAUGUUUUGUGUACACCCAGUGCAAAAGAACAGCUACAUAAUGUGGUGUCUUCUGUGUCUGCCAAAACAAACCAACAUUUCAGCAUACAAAAACUCAACGUCUAACCUGAGGAAACAUAGUGCGGCCUUGUCUUCGUCACACAUCACUCUUAGACACAGAUGGGGAUGAUGUCAACACCAGCAGCAGCAGCCUCUCUGAGGAAAAUUACUUCUUUGGAUCCAUGGGGACUUUUUAGUCAUGCAGGACUACUGUACACUGCCAAACAGUUAUAGCUUCGUGGCAAGAACCUUUAGAGCCAACUAAUGCUGAAGCUUAACUGUCACUUCACCAAGUGAAGAAGAAGCAGGUUUUGAUCAAACAUGCACAGAUGCAGACACACACACACACACACACACACACACACACACACACACACACACACACACACACACACACACACACACACACACACACACACACACACACACACACACACAGUUUAAAGCAAAGAGAGACUUGUAUGUGCAUAAGCUGCCUUGUUGUAAUGUUAUUUUCUAUCUACUGAGCCUGUGCUAUUUGGAGGGAAGUGAAAUACAGUAUACAGUAUAUCUUUUCACUGGAAGUAGUUUGCACUGUUCAAACAUAAAAAUGUUACCUUACUACAGGUAUUUGUUUCAAAAGCUUUAGUUGUGAAAAACAGAUUUGGAAAUUUGUGUUUCUUGUGCCUUAACAUGUCAUUUUGUAAAGAUGUUAUUUAUUUUUGCUAUUUUUUUAUUUUAUGAUUUGGAAAUACCAGAAUUUGCACAUUAUUUUACAUCUUUUUCGGACUGAUCACAUCAUUUCUAAAAAAUAAAUUGGACAUUACAAUCAAACACUUAUUCAGUACUUGAGCAGUCUUUUCACCAAACACUUUUUUACUUUUACUUGACUGAUUGUUUGGAUUACUACUUGCUACUUCUACGUGAGUGAUAUUAUUUUGAAGUAACGUUACUCUCCCUUGAGUACAAUUUUUGGCUACUCACCUCUGGAUUUAGUUUUGAUUAUGUUCAUAGUUGAAAAAGCUUCUUCCUCUCAGUGUUGCUUUAUUCAUUUUUCUUUUUUGUCUGUCCCUCACCUCUCAACUGUUUUCUGAACGCAGAGCUGCAAUGUUUAGUGGCUGCAGAGACUUUAUUGGCUGAGUAGCAUCACUUGAGAUGGCUGAAUUCGUACGUAAUUGGUCUGCGUGUUUCCUGAGCUGAUAACCAAUGCCGUAAACACUGGAAAAGCUGCGCUGGUAAGAUAAAAGCGACCCAUCAAAUUUAAAAUCCCAUUACAAUUUACUGAUUACAGGUCCAGAUCCGUAUAAGAUGGUUUCUGGGUCCAGAUCCAGACUGCGGUCCGCCAGUUAGUAACCCCUGUAUGACUGCUUCUGCAGCAUUUUUGUUGGAUGUUGUGUUUGAGAUAAUUUCUACAAAAGUAUAAUUUUCUUGAGAAAUCAACAUGUCACCACUGAAAAUUUUGUUCUUGUAUUACCAAGUCCCUCUGUAAGGUGUGGUGACUAAGAUGGGCUAGUGGAUAAAGAUAUAAAAACAAGAAACAGUUUGAUAAAUUCCAGAAAGCAACUUUCCUAUGCAAAAACGCAAGGCAGGUGAAAGGUGAGGUUAGUGUGUGGAGGAACAGGCUUGUCGGACAUUUCAGACUUUCUGUUUCCAUUGUGGUGAAGGGUCCAACAGCUUUGACUGCGAUGUCAACAAAUAGCAGUUAGUGGAUGCAGCUGUAGUUUUAUGGGCAUGUAGGAAAUGGAACAAUGGAGGGUUUGUUAUGUUUUGAUGCUGAUGUUCAACAGAAGGCUCAACAAGGGCAUGGGGAGGGCAGAAAAAAUGGUGCUUUCUGUCAUCUCUGAGUUUAAUCCAAUCAGCAUCGAGACCCGCACAGCAGUUUCUCAGUGUUGCUCAGAGGUAUCCACCCCGCAGUCAGUACUUUUUUCUCCCUUGACAAUGGAACCUGAAAAUGGUCCUACAUGGACGGUUCUCACAGAACACGCACAAAUGUCGGGCUGCCCCAAAAUAAUCUGCAAGUUCCUGCAGAGAAAAAUGCCCAAGUGUUUUAUUUUUCCGUUACAGUGAAGAAGUGGUUGUUCAUUGUAAUCAUUCCCCCUCUGCAUGCUGCUCAUGAAGUGAUCCAUUCUAAUGUGAUUCCAGAGAUGGUUGUCAAAAUAUGCACUCUUUUUUUUACAUUUCAACACAAUCUAUAAUAGCUCUUUUUUAGGUGGUUUUUAGUCAAAUCCAAUGGGAAUUUUCUAAAAUUACUAUAUUUUUAGUACAAAAUUCCAUUUUUGUGUGACUAUACCACCUUUAAAUACUAGGGUUAGGGUUAGGGUUAGCAUGAUUUUGAGCUAUUAUGCAAAAUCCUGAACCCUAACCUGCAGCUUACUGUAAGUACCUCUCGAUGUCAGCAUCUGCUGUACGAGUAAAUCAUAUUUUGUGAUUCCAACAGUUACAUUCACACUAUUUAGCACCAACCCAGCAGUGAUAAAAAUGUGCAGGAGAACUCCAAUCUAAGCUGCUAUCAAACCGAUGAAUACCCCUGUGGUGAAUUAAAAGUUCUACAGAGUUUGUCAGUAAAUAGUUGCACUUUCUCAGACUAUAUAUCUGCUGCAGAAGUGUAAAAUACAAGCUUUUUUUGUAUAACUUUCUAUUAAGUUUCUUGCCUGCCAAGGCUUACUGUUUGUACUUCGGUCAGUGGAAAUGUCUCUGAAAGGAUGCUGUGAUAGGCUGCCUCUAUGUUGUCAUUCUUCAUUGGUAUUCUGUACACAGAAAGUAUUGAGUGCAGAGGUUCUUCCAACCUUCCACUAGCUUUUCUCCUCUAGGUCUCCCCCCUACCUGUUACAACAGUGGUUUGCAAUACCAAUCAGUAACCCAUUUCUCUACUUUAUGAAUAAAUAUAUAUUUUUAAAGACAGUA